ACUGGAAAUUAUAUUCAUAACAUGUUAAUAACAUCAUUAUUGAUAUGUUUUUUUCUGUGUUAUCUAGAGCGAACAACAAGUUCUGAAUUUAUUCUGCUGGUGAUAACAAUAGUCUGCUUGGUCAUUUCUAUGAUUGGAAAUGUUGUUUUCAUCUGUUACCGAACUCCAAGACCAAUAUGUAAACAAUUUAAAAGAAUAGAAAGCGCCACUUCACAAGCAAGACAUGACAACUUGAUCCAACCAGUCCAUGAUAUUACUGAAGGUGGGGAUGAUCUGAACUACGCUGCGUUGCAUUUCUCUGGAGGGAAAGCUACAAGAGGAAGGAAG